CUAAUGAUGCAGGCAGACCAGACAAAGAUCAGACAGACAAGUGUUGAGGCAGUUCGACAGGCAGACGGUCACAAGGGCCAGACAGAAAGGCGAUCUCUUUGUUUUCCAUCUGAGUCAAUAUUGUUUAUUGUGGUAGACGCAGACGGGAGGGAGAACAAGAAACGGGAGACCACAGGAAGAGUCAAGUUCCCACCCAGCUGAGGGAUGGAGGUCGGCCUGCUAAGUCACCAGACUGUCGCUUGAAACACGAGCAACCUGACGUGCAUCUGCCUUUCUCAAGUGGCCAGACAGGUGUUGUGGUCCAGUUUCCAGCCCGGAUCGCAGCUGUCCUCGGUGAGCCCAUUUCGACAGACGCAGUCGCAGGUGGAUUCAUCCAGAACCCUGUUGGGCCCACAAAGAGCCAGCAGACCUGAGUUCAGCGCCUCUGGAAGCCACAUGGAAAGAAAGCAACAAAUGGUGAUCCGUCGCGGCUCGUCUGAUGAUGGAGUGGAGCGGCCGCUUGGGGAGGCAAUCACAUGAGGUGUGGUUGACAAAGGUCACCAUGACAACGGAGCGGUCCAGUUUCGGCGGCGACAGCUCCAUCAGCUGGCAGGGGGAAGAAAGGUGAAGGUUAGAGAGUGGACUACAGGACUGGUUGAGGAGGCGGGAAACGACGACGAAGAGGAGACACUCUGCCAUUUCUUCCUCCGGCAGUGCUGAAGCAAGCUGUAUUCGGGGUACAGGAGCUGCAAGAGCUGAUCCACGCUCGUCACUGUCUCCAAGCUGGGCUGGUCAUCUGACAACGGCGGGUCCUGGGCGAAAGGAGUUACCGACAACUGUAAAGUAAAUUAUGGAGGGGGGAAGGAAAGAAGAAGAAGAAGAAGAAGAAGAAGAAGAAGAAGAAGGAGAAGAGAGACGGGGAGGAAGAGGUAAAAAUGCACCGACUGGAUGCUUUUGUUCACCUGCUCCGCCCUGUCUUGAGUUGGGCUUGCUUGCGACCCUGUCAAACGCUGGUGGCCCCUUCCCGUGUCCCCCCGGACUCCAGCACCUCGGCCUCUCUUCCUGCCAUCAGCCUCCACCUACACAGGAAUCAAAGAACAAAUGGACGUCAAAUAUUUAUCCUCCAGGGAAACGGGAUAAUCCGAAAAUCACCCUGUGGUUGGGUGUGACAGUUUUCAGAACCUAAUGUGUAUUAACUAUCGAUCACUGUGUAAACAAGUUCUAAAAGUAUAUAUAAUAGUGCUUGAGUUGCCUGAAAACAAGAUGGUACUCCAGAGGGUAGUUCUCAACUCAGUAGCUAUGAUUUAAUAUGUAUGACCAGAAAGUUAGAUAACAAAAAAUGAAGGUUUAUGGGGAUUAUGUUCGGGGAUUCCUGCAAAUUGUGACUGCAAGCUAAACAGUUAUGGAGGCAGAUUCCCCCUCAUCUGACUCCUGGUUGGUGGAGUCGUUGUAAUGAAAAGCACGCUAAGCACAGCAAGUGUUUCAUACCCUGAAUACUUUAUCCAUGUGAGUGCCCAGUUCUGAACGCAUUGUGGUUUGUGCAAGUUUAGUAACAGCACAUUCAGGAUCCUGUACUCCAUAACUAGCCUGGAGACAUACAACAAAUCAGCCUCGUGGAUCACGUCAUGGCUAAUCAGAUUAGCCGGCGCCAUCUGCUGGCGAAGACAAGGAGCUCUUUGAUUAUGAGAGUUUUACAAACAGGAAAGAUUGUUAAAUUUGAUGGUGGCAAUAAAUUCAUAGUUGUGUUAAAGAA